rnacentral:rRNA from 1 species
GAGUUUGAUCGUGGCUCAGAUUGAACGCUGGCGGCAUGCCUUACACAUGCAAGUCGAACGGCAGCACGGGAGCUUGCUCCUGGUGGCGAGUGGCGAACGGGUGAGUAAUGCAUCGGAACGUAUCCUGGAGUGGGGGAUAACGUAGCGAAAGUUACGCUAAUACCGCAUAUUCUGUGAGCAGGAAAGCGGGGGACCUUCGGGCCUCGCGCUCUUGGAGCGGCCGAUGUCGGAUUAGCUAGUUGGUGAGGUAAAGGCUCACCAAGGCGACGAUCCGUAGCAGGUCUGAGAGGAUGAUCUGCCACACUGGAACUGAGACACGGUCCAGACUCCUACGGGAGGCAGCGAGUGGGGAAUUUUGGACAAUGGGGGCAACCCUGAUCCAGCCAUGCCGCGUGAGUGAAGAAGGCCU